CAGACGGCUGAGGUCGGACCGGACCGGACUGGACCGGACCGCCGCGGGGACCCGGCCCGGGUCGGAGACAGCGCGGCAGGACCUCUGGGGUGGAAGAUAGGAAGUGCUGCUCCUCAGGCAGCCCAGGGAGCUGCUAACCGGAAGUCCCGCCUGGGAGGAAGCCCUGGUGGCCACAGGUGCAGAUGCAGCAGGACUGAGUGUGGCAGCACAGGGGAUGCCUGCCUCCGCCAUCUCUGCAGCCCCUGAGCUGCAUGGCUUCCCUGGGCCCCGGCACUCUGGCCCCCAGCAGGCUCUCGAGCCGGAGAACCAUGUGCUGGGUCAGCACCAUCAGGGCUCAGAGCCAGGCUGUGGAGAGCACCAGGGUGCCGGGUCCUGAUCCUGCCCGCCCACCCGGGG
rnacentral:lncRNA from 1 species